GGUUCUCACAGGCUCGAACAAUGCUGGUUUCAUGAAAUGCAACCGAAGGCUGAACCAAGGCAGUGCAACUUAGAAGCACACACACAAACACAGCUGACCAGGAACUUAGUGCAAAGUCUCCAACGCAGUCGGCGGUCCCGGCCCCUCCCUCCCCCGGGGCCGCCGGGGAUCCAGAGGGACUCGGGAGAGCGUUCAACGUCGGGCUUCCCGGGUCUGACAACUGAUUGGAAUCGGCUUCCCAGGUCCGGCGCCCUCCUGCGCUGCGCCCCCGGCGCGCCCCGGCGGCCAGGGCGCCCUGCCUCGCCCCCGGCUGCCCGGCACCUCCUCCGGGCAGCAGCCCUCCCUCACGUGGUAGGCUCCUCGCUAAACACCACUGCAAUCACUACAAUAAAAAAAAAAAAGGAGUAGGAGAAACACAAAGCAUACUUAAAUAGGCGCUUUUUCUCUCUGCAAAAAUAAAGUCCAAGAUUUUAGAUUUUUUUUUUUAUUUUACAAUUUAUAAAACAUCAGCCGCCUGCCCCCGCUCGCCCCCAGCUCAGCCCCGAGUGGCGGCCGGGGCGCGAGGGUCCCGCGGGCAGAGCGCAGCGGGCGCGGGCGGCGGCAGCGGCAGCGGCGCAGGACCCGGCUGCAGAGGCUCCAAGGGCUGCCCGCGGUGGGGCGCGCCGUGCGGCGGCUGGAGCGCGGC
rnacentral:antisense_RNA from 1 species